rnacentral:rRNA from 1 species
UACGAAGGGGGCUAGCGUUGUUCGGAAUUACUGGGCGUAAAGCGCGCGUAGGCGGACCUGCAAGUCGGGGGUGAAAGCCCGAGGCUCAACCUCGGAACUGCCUUCGAUACUGCGGGUCUCGAGUCCGGGAGAGGUGAGUGGAAUUCCUAGUGUAGAGGUGAAAUUCGUAGAUAUUAGGAAGAACACCAGUGGCGAAGGCGGCUCACUGGCCCGGUACUGACGCUGAGGCGCGAAAGCGAGGGGAGCAAACAGG